GAUAAACGCUAGCGGUGUGCCUUAUGCAUGCAAGUCGAACGGUCUCGAUUUAUCGAGAUAGUGGCGAACGGGUGAAUAAUACGUAAGUAACCUACCCCUAAGUUGGGAAUAACCUCGGGAAACUGGGGCUAAUACCGAAUGUGGUGGCCGAGCGAUGUUUGGUUACUAAAGCCGAAAGGUGCUUGGGGAGGGGCUUGCGUCCGAUUAGCUAGUUGGUAGGUAAGGGCUUACCAAGGCAAUGAUCGGUAGCUGGUUUAAGAGGACGAUCAGCCACAUUGGGACUGAGACACGGCCCAGACUCCUACGGGAGGCAGCAGCAAGGAAUAUUGUGCAAUGGGCGAAAGCCUGACACAGCGACGCCGCGUGAGGGAAGAAGGCCUUCGGGUUGUAAACCUCUUUUCUCAGGGGAGAAUGAUGAUGGUACCUGAGGAAUAAGUCUUGGCUAACUACGUG
rnacentral:rRNA from 1 species